GACGCCGGACCGAUCGCGUAUUUCUGCACCAAAAAUUUGCCACGAGUAAUUCAAUUUUAUAACAAUCACAUCUCUAGGUAGUUGGUACGCCGUCGGUAUAGCGUCUGCCGCGUUCGACCGUUAGUAUUUAUUUUAUUUUUCGUUGCCGGUACUGUUCCGUGGUACCGGCGGGCGGCGAACACCGCGAGCCGACGCGACCAAAAAUCGUUACGACUCGUGGGCGCGGUUUACUCCCUGCGCGGUUUCCAUGGUAUUACGAUGUUGACGGUACGACGUCAACGGCGUAAAAUAUAUUAUUAAAACAAUGAUAGGCGUCCUUCGAGACGUUAUCUUAUUAGUUAUUACUAGUUUGCCUUACGCGGCUCUGCUACAACUCAUAAACAAAUUAAAUUAAAUUAUUUUUACUAAGAUGCCCGCUACUCAGUUUCAUUUCUAUCGUGCUCGACCAGGCCGCUGGGUUCCUGAUUCAAUGGAACAAUCAACUGUCUCCGCGCUUUCGUCUUGAUAACUUGUUUCUGUACAUCAAUCAGAAUAUGAGCAGGAGAAAAUUCAAGACAGCAGCCAAACGUCCAAUAACACACACAAUAACAAUACUAAUCCGUUGUUUUCAUCAUCCAAUGUGGUCAUGGUAAUUGAAUCCUAAACAAAUACAUUUUUGUGUGCGUACUUCAGAUAUGUAAUUCCACUGAUCCUGUAGCAGCCUUACUAAUCCUAGAUGAAAUUGUUUUUAUAUACGUAUUCCAUGCAGUCUAAAUGUCUAAUUGCCGCAGUCUUGACACGUGUGUUUUGGAAAAAUAUUCGUGUCAAGGCUGAGAUAGUUAGACUGCUUGAAAUACGUGUAUAAAACGUCUAAUCUUGUCGUUAUGAUAUUACAUCAGAGGUGCCACUAGUUUGAACAAUUUAUGAGAUUAUCUGAAGUGUGUACAUGGAAAGAGGAGCUGUAUUGAGAUAAAAUAAUUACCUGACCCAACUAAGAAAUAAAUAAUAAUGUUGUUUUCUCUAUCUUUAUAAAAAUAAAUUCCCAUAAUAUAAAUACAUUACAGAUUAUAUAAAUAUGAUCACAUUUAUUUAUGUAGAAAUUAACUCAGUUAUUUUUCAAUAUAUUUGUACCAUUUUAACAAAGCCAAUAAUUAAAUGAAUUGUGUUCAUAAUAAUUUAGUUUUGUGUUUUUAUUUUUUAAUUCAUACUUGUUGUAAGACCUUGUUGGUCGUUAACUGAACAACGAUUCAUUACCUGGAUUUUAUUGAAAAAUGUUUAAUAUACUAGAAGUAAGAAUGUC